rnacentral:rRNA from 1 species
GACGGAGGAUGCAAGCGUUAUCCGGAAUGAUUGGGCGUAAAGCGUCCGCAGGUGGCCGUUCAAGUCUGCUGUCAAAGACCGGGGCUUAACUUCGGAAAGGCAGUGGAAACUGAACAGCUAGAGUAUGGUAGGGGCAGAGGGAAUUCCUGGUGUAGCGGUGAAAUGCGUAGAUAUCAGGAGGAACAUCGGUGGCGAAGGCGGGUCUCUGGGCAAUAACUGACGCUGAGGAGCGAAAGCGUGGGGAGCGAACAGG